CCGGUCAGGGAUGGGCUCGCGGCCUAUCAGCUUGUUGGUGGGGUAACGGCCUACCAAGGCGAUGACGGGUAGCCGGCCUGAGAGGGCGACCGGCCACACUGGGACUGAGACACGGCCCAG
rnacentral:rRNA from 1 species